rnacentral:rRNA from 1 species
AUGCUGGCAACAGCGAUAAGGGAACCUCGAGUGCCAGGUUACAAAUCUGGCUGUCGAGAUGCCUAAAAAGCAUUUCAUAGCAAGGGCCGGGCAAGACCGGUGCCAGCCGCCGCGGUAACACCGGCGGCUCGAGUGGUAACCGUUAUUAUUGGGUCUAAAGGGUCUGUAGCCGGCCGGAUAAGUCUCUUGAGAAAUCUGGCAGCUUAACUGUCAGGCUUUCAGGAGAUACUGUCUGGCUCGAGGCCGGGAGAGGUGAGAGGUACUUCAGGGGUAGGGGUGAAAUCUUGUAAUCCUUGAAGGACCACCAGUGGCGAAGGCGUCUCACCAGAACGGACCUGACGGCAAGGGACGAAAGCUAGGGGCACGAACCGGAUUAGAUACCCGGGUAGUCCUAGCCGUAAACGAUACUCGCUAGGUGUCGGCCACGGUGCGACCGUUGUCGGUGCCGUAGGGAAGCCGUGAAGCGAGC